rnacentral:rRNA from 1 species
AGCGAACGCUGGCGGCAGGCCUAACACAUGCAAGUCGAACGAACCUUUCGGGGUGAGUGGCGUACGGGUGAGUAACACGUGGUAACGUGCCUUUAGGUUCGGAAUAACUCAGGGAAACUUGUGCUAAUACCGAAUGUGUACUUCGGGGGAAAGAUUUAUCGCGUUUGGAGCGGCGCGCGUCUGAUUAGCUAGUUGGUUGAGGUAAUGGAACACCAAGGCUACGAGCAGUAGCUGGUCUGAGAGGAUGCACAGCCAGAUUGGGACUGAGACCCGGCCCAUACUGGUAGGGGAGGCAGCAGAGGGGAAUCUAGCGGAAUGAGCGAGAGGCUGACGCAGCCCUGCCGCGUGAAUGGUGAAGGUGUUAGGAUUGUAAAAUUCUUUCAGCGGAGACGAUAAUGACGGUACCCGGAGAAGAAGCCCCGGCUAACUUCGUG